UACGAAGGGUGCUAGCGUUGUUCGGAAUGACUGGGCGUAAAGGGUGCGUAGGCGGCCGAAUGCGUCUGAUGUGAAAUCCCUGGGCUUAACCUAGGAACUGCAUUGGAUACGGUUUGGCUAGAGACCGAUAGAGGAAGAUGGAAUUGUGCGUGUAGAGGUGAAAUUCGUAGAUAUGCACAAGAACACCGGUGGCGAAGGCGAUCUUCUGGAGCGGUACUGACGCUAAGGCACGAAAGCGUGGGGAGCAAACAGGAUUAGAUACCCUGGUAGUCCACGCUGUAAACGAUGAAUGUUAGAUGUCGGGGGGAAUACCUUUCGGUAUCGCAGCUAACGCGAUAAACAUUCCGCCUGGGGAGUACGGUCGCAAGAUUA
rnacentral:rRNA from 1 species